CUUUAGUCUAUGUGAAGCCUUCGGCUCAACCGAAGAAGUGCAUUGGAAACUGGGAGACUUGAGUGCAGAAGAGGACAGUGGAACUCCAUGUGUAGCGGUGAAAUGCGUAGAUAUAUGGAAGAACACCAGUGGCGAAGGCGGCUGUCUGGUCUGCAACUGACGCUGAGGCUCGAAAGCAUGGGUAGCGAACAGGAUUAGAUACCCUGGUAGUCCAUGCCGUAAACGAUGAUUACUAAGUGUUGGAGGGUUUCCGCCCUUCAGUGCUGCAGCUAACGCAUUAAGUAAUCCGCCUGGGGAGUACGACCGCAAGGUUGAAACUCAAAAGAAUUGACGGGGGCCCGCACAAGCGGUGGAGCAUGUGGUUUAAUUCGAAGCUACGCGAAGAACCUUACCAGGUCUUGACAUCUUCUGACAGUCUAAGAGAUUAGAGGUUCCCUUCGGGGACAGAAUGACAGGUGGUGCAUGGUUGUCGUCAGCUCGUGUCGUGAGAUGUUGGGUUAAGUCCCGCAACGAGCGCAACCCUUAUUACUAGUUGCCAGCAUUAAGUUGGGCACUCUAGUGAGACUGCCGGUGACAAACCGGAGGAAGGUGGGGACGACGUCAAAUCAUCAUGCCCCUUAUACCUGGGG
rnacentral:rRNA from 1 species